CACAGAGGCAUAAAAAAGGCAGUGCUGCUCAGAGGAUGAAACACAGAGCCUUCCCUUGGCCCUUCCCAACCGUACAUGACACGGCCCAGAGGAUCAGAUGCUCUCUGUCUGCUUCUUGAAUCAUGUUUACGAAUGUUGCCCUUCCACAAGUGGAGAACAGCAGUGCCCUUAUGACGUUGCUACUUCAGGCCUGCCGGUUAGCAAGGAUUUAGGAUUUUGGGGGUUCUAUUAGAGAACAGAGUAAGAAUAAAGCGAGAGGAGAUCCUGUCUGCUUAUUUCCAGGCUGCUUCUAUGUGUGUGGAUUCAGGCUGUGGGUUCACAGGCAGCUGAGUUGAUUGGAUGGCUUCAUUCCUCUGAAAUGAAAUCUUACCUCCUCUUCCUUCUCUUGCCCUUCAUCUUCCCCCUCACCUCACCCCUUGUACUCCCCUCCUUCCACCGGUGCCUGGUGUGUGCCACACGUGUGCUGCACGUGUGACCCAUGCGAUGAGCCAGUUCAGUUCCCCAGUCCAGCAGAAAAUUGUCUUGAGUUUUUCUGGGUUAUUUUUCUGUUGAGUUGGUGAGCUGUGUCAGUUCAGAGACAUUUAUGGACCAACAUUAGAAUGAAUGGUGAGACUGUGAGGCUGAGGGCAGCAAGGGAGGGGGAACUGGGGAGGGCAGCCUCACCGCUUCUGCAGAGAUAAAAGCAUCAGAGAUAAAAGUAUGAGUAUCGGAGUUUUUAUCAGAGAUAAAAGUAUUGUGUCAGCCCAUUGCAUCUCUCAAAACCACAGCUUCAGUUUUUCUCAGGAAAGUACGUGCAUCUCUGUUUAUAUGCAGAUGACUUUCUGGUUCUCUCUCAUAUCUCCCUCUUCUCUCUGACAGGCAAGACUUCGGUUCCUCGGCCUCCUGCCCCAUCUUUUAUGGAUCUCAGGAACUGCCUGUGAGGCUGGCACAUGGCCCUGUCCAUAUUAGUUGCUGGUUCUCACGGCUGUUCCUACAGACCAUUACUGGUGCAAGCUUUCAUUGGCUCUGUGUCAAACACACACAUAUACAAGGAUCUGUCCUGUCCAUCAAAGCCAUGGAUUUACUGAAGUUAUGUGUGUUCAUGGUCCGAAGAGAAACACAUCUGUAGCAGCUGGUUCACCAGAUUUGUGAAGUUUCCCAUACAUUGUGAUUCCCAACCAGACCACUAGCAUACCUCAUGAUUCCCAGCCAGAUCACUGGCGUCUCACAUUUAAGUUCUUAAUGCUUGGCUUCUCUCUUACUUGGAGUGAAUGCUGUCUGUGCAGAGAAGACAAAGUCAGGCCAGAAGCAUUGGACAAGCUUGAGUGGGUCUGUGUGAACUUAAUGAAGUUCAACAAGGCCAAGUGCUCUCAGUGUAUGUACAGACUGGGAGAAGAGCCCAUUGAGAGCUGCCCUGCUGAGG
ensembl:lncRNA